rnacentral:rRNA from 1 species
UACGUAGGGGGCAAGCGUUGUCCGGAAUCAUUGGGCGUAAAGCGCGUGUAGGCGGUCCGGUAAGUCGGCUGUGAAAGUCCAGGGCUCAACCCUGGGAUGCCGGUCGAUACUGCCGGACUAGAGUUCGGAAGAGGCGAGUGGAAUUCCCGGUGUAGCGGCGAAAUGCGCAGAUAUCGGGAGGAACACCAAUGGCGAAGGCAGCUCGCUGGGACGUUACUGACGCUGAGACGCGAAAGCGUGGGGAGCAAACAGGG